GACGAACGCUGGCGGCGUGCCUAACACAUGCAAGUCGAGCGAAGUGAGUACUACGGUACGAACUUAGCGGCGGACGGGUGAGUAACGCGUGGACAAUCUACCCUGUAGACUGGGAUAACACCUCGAAAGGGGUGCUAAUACCGGAUAAUGUCGAGAAGCGGCAUCGCUUUUCGAAGAAAGGAGAGAAUCCGCUAUAGGAGGAGUCCGCGUCCCAUUAGCUAGUUGGUGAGGGUAACGGCCCACCUAGGCGACGAAGGGUAGCCGGCCUGAGAGGGUGAACGGCCACACUGGAACUGAGACACGGUCCAGACUCCUACGGGAGGUAGCAGUGGGGAAUAUUGUGCAAUGGGGGAAACCCUGACACAGCAACGCCGCGUGAGCGAAGAAGGCCUUCGGGUUGUAAAGCUCAAUAGUAUGGGAAGAUAAUGACGGUACCAUACGAAAGCCCCGGCUAACUACGUGCCAGCCGCCGCAGUAACAC
rnacentral:rRNA from 1 species